rnacentral:rRNA from 1 species
ACUCCUGCGGGAGGCAGCAGUGGGGAAUUUUGGACAAUGGGGACAACCCUGAUCCAGCAAUGCCGCGUGAGUGAAGAAGGCCUUCGGGUUGUAAAGCUCUUUUGUCAGGGAAGAAACGGUGGUGGCGAAUAACUACUACUAAUGACGGUACCUGAAGAAUAAGCACCGGCUAACUACGUGCCAGCAGCCGCGGUAAUACGUAGGGUGCAAGCGUUAAUCGGAAUUACUGGGCGUAAAGCGUGCGCAGGCGGUUGUGUAAGUCAGAUGUGAAAUCCCCGGGCUCAACCUGGGAAUUGCAUUUGAGACUGCACGGCUAGAGUGUGUCAGAGGGGAGUAGAAUUCCACGUGUAGCAGUGAAAUGCGUAGAUAUGUGGAGGAAUACCGAUGGCGAAGGCAGCCCCCUGGGAUAACACUGACGCUCAUGCACGAAAGCGUGGGGAGCAAACAGGAUUAGAAACCCGGGUAGUCCCAUGAU